rnacentral:rRNA from 1 species
CCUACGGGAGGCAGCAGUGAGGAAUAUUGGUCAAUGGCCGUAAGGCUGAACCAGCCAAGUCGCGUGAAGGAAGAAGGAUCUAUGGUUUGUAAACUUCUUUUAUCGGGGAAUAAAGGUAUCCACGUGUGGAUAUUUGCAUGUACCCUAUGAAUAAGCAUCGGCUAACUCCGUGCCAGCAGCCGCGGUAAUACGGAGGAUGCGAGCGUUAUCCGGAUUUAUUGGGUUUAAAGGGUGCGCAGGGUGUUUUUUAAGUCAGCGGUGAAAGUUUGUGGCUCAACCAUAAAAUUGCCGUUGAAACUGGAAGACUUGAGUGUGUUUGAGGUAGGCGGAAUGCGUGGUGUAGCGGUGAAAUGCAUAGAUAUCACGCAGAACUCCGAUUGCGAAGGCAGCUUACUAAGCCAUAACUGACACUGAAGCACGAAAGCGUGGGGAUCGAACAGGAUUAGAUACCCGAGUAGUC